rnacentral:rRNA from 1 species
UACAUGGGGUGCAAACGUUGCUCGGAAUUAUUGGGCGUAAAGCGCGCGUAGGCGGUCUCUUAAGUCGGAUGUGAAAGCCCUUGGCUCAACCGAGGAAGUGCACCCGAAACUGAGAGGCUUGAGUACGAAAGAGGGUCGCGGAAUUCCCGGUGUAGAGGUGAAAUUCGUAGAUAUCGGGAGGAACACCAGUGGCGAAGGCGGCUAUCUGGACGGUAACUGACGCUGAGACGCGAAAGCGUGGGGAGCAAACAGG